rnacentral:rRNA from 1 species
GUCUACGGCCAUACCACCCUGAACGCGCCCGAUCUCGUCUGAUCUCGGAAGCUAAGCAGGGUCGGGCCUGGUUAGUACUUGGAUGGGAGAAACUGCAUAGCCUAAUUAGGUAGUGUGCAGGAGUGUUUACC